AAGCUCCCCCAAUCCCACCCCACCCUGUGUUUAUGUACAUGGAUCCCAGUGAGCUUCACCCAGGACCCAAGUUCAAAACCUCUCCUAAGCCAGC